rnacentral:misc_RNA from 1 species
GAUGAAGAACGAAGCAAAAUGCGAUAAGUAAUGUGAAUUGCAGAAUUCAGUGAAUCAUCGAAUCUUUGAACGCACAUUGCGCCCGCCAGUAUUCUGGCGGGCAUGCCUGUUCGAGCGUCAUUUCAACCCUCAAGCACAGCUUGGUGUUGGGACUCGCGUUAAUUCGCGUUCCUCAAAUUGAUUGGCGGUCACGUCGAGCUUCCAUAGCGUAGUAGUAAAACCCUCGUUACUGGUAAUCGUCGCGGCCACGCCGUUAAACCCCAACUUCUGAAUGUUGACCUCGGAUCAGGUAGGAAUACCCGCUGAACUUAAGCAUAUCAAUAAGCGGAGGA